rnacentral:rRNA from 1 species
UACGUAGGGGGCAAGCGUUGUCCGGAUUUAUUGGGCGUAAAGAGCGUGUAGGCGGCCAGGUAGGUCAGCUGUGAAAACUCGAGGCUCAACCUCGAGACGUCGGUUGAAACCAUCUGGCUAGAGUCCGGAAGAGGAGAGUGGAAUUCCUGGUGUAGCGGUGAAAUGCGCAGAUAUCAGGAAGAACACCCGUGGCGAAGGCGGCUCUCUGGGACGGUACUGACGCUGAGGAGCGAAAGCGUGGGGAGCGAACAGG